UAGUCCACGCUGUAAACGAUGAGGGCUAAGACAUUGGAUUUGUCCAGUUUACGAAGCUAGCGCGAUAAGCCCUCCGCCUUGGAAGUAUAGACGCAAGUCCGAAACUUAAAGGAAUUGACGGGGACCCGCACAAGCGGUGGAGCAUGUGGUUUAAUUCGAUGAUACGCGAGGAACCUUACCAAGGCUUAAAUGUGGAACGACAGAUUUGGAAACUUAUCUUUCUUCGGACGGUCCACAAGGUGCUGCAUGGUUGUCGUCAGCUCGUGCUGUGAAGUGUCGGGUUAAGUCCCAUAACGAGCGCAACCCCUAUCUUUAGUUGCCAGCGAUUCGGUCGGGGACUCUAAAGAAACUGCCGGCGUAAGCCGCGAGGAAGGUGGGGAUGACGUCAAAUCAUCACGGCCCUUACGUCUUGGGCUACACACGUGCUACAAUGGUAGGGACAGAGAGUCGCAAACUAGUGAUAGUGAGCUAAUCUUCAAACCCUAUCUCAGUUCGGAUCGGAGUCUGCAACUCGACUCCGU
rnacentral:rRNA from 1 species